UACGUAGGGGGCAAGCGUUGUCCGGAAUUAUUGGGCGUAAGGAGCUUGUAGGCGGUUUGUCGCGUCUGCUGUGAAAUCUCAAGGCUCAACCUUGAGCUUGCAGUGGGUACGGGCAGACUAGAGUGUGGUAGGGGAGACUGGAAUUCCUGGUGUAGCGGUGAAAUGCGCAGAUAUCAGGAGGAACACCGAUGGCGAAGGCAGGUCUCUGGGCCACUACUGACGCUGAGAAGCGAAAGCAUGGGGGAGCGAACAGG
rnacentral:rRNA from 1 species